rnacentral:rRNA from 1 species
GAUCAUGGCUCAGGAUGAACGCUAGCGGCAGGCUUAACACAUGCAAGUCGAGGGGCAGCGUGGAGUAGCAAUACUCUGACGGCGACCGGCGAAAGGGUGAGUAACGCGUGAGCAACAUGCCCGAUACUGGAGGAUAGUCGAUGGAAACGUCGCGUAAUACUCCGUAACAUAGGGGACCGCAUGAUUCUCUAUUAAUAGAUUUAUCGGUAUCGGAUUGGCUCGCGUACCAUUAGCUAGUUGGCGGGGUAACGGCCCACCAAGGCGACGAUGGUUAGGGGUUCUGAGAGGAAGGUCCCCCACAUUGGAACUGAGACACGGUCCAGACUCCUACGGGAGGCAGCAGUGAGGAAUAUUGGACAAUGGCCGAGAGGCUGAUCCAGCCAUGCCGCGUGCCGGGAGGACGGCCCUAUGGGUUGUAAACCGCUUUUGUUGGGGAGCAAUAAGGGUCACGUGUGACCUGAUGAGAGUACCCAGCGAAUAAGCAUCGGCUAACUCCGUGCCAGCCGCCGC